rnacentral:tRNA from 1 species
GAUAAGAUAAGCUAAACAUAAGCUAAUGGGUUCAUACCCCGGAAAUGGGAUUUUCUCCCUCUUUUCA